rnacentral:tRNA from 1 species
GCUCCUGUAGCUCAGUGGUAGAGCGCGUGCUUGGUAAGCACGAGGCCGCGAGUUCAAUCCUCGCCGGGGGCU